rnacentral:rRNA from 1 species
AUUGAACGCUGGCGGCAUGCCUUACACAUGCAAGUCGAACGGUAACGGGCCUUCGGGUGCCGACGAGUGGCGAACGGGUGAGUAAUACAUCGGAACGUGCCCGAUCGUGGGGGUUAACGAGGCUACAGCUUUGCUAAUACCGCAUACGAUCUACGGAUGAAAGCAGGGGACCGCAAGGCCUUGCGCGGACGGAGCGGCCGAUGGCCGAUUAGGUAGUUGGUGGGAUAAAAGCUUACCAAGCCGACGAUCUGUAGCUGGUCUGAGAGGAUGAUCAGCCACACUGGGACUUAGACACGGCCCAGACUCCUACGGGAGGCAGCAGUGGGGAAUGUUGGACAAUGGGCGCAAGCAUGAUCCAGCCAUGCCGCGUGCAGGAUGAGGGCCUUCGGGUUGUAAACUGCUUUUGUACGGAAAGAACAGCCUUCUUUUAAUACAGGAGGGUCAUGACGGUACCGUAAGAAUAAGCACCGGCUAACUACGUG